GGAGGCCACCGCUAUUGGAAUCCGAUUUAGACAUGUGAGUCGAGAGUCUUCGGGACUCGGCGGACGGCUCAGUAACACGCGGAUAAUCUGCCCUUGGGUGGGGAAUAAUCUCGGGAAACUGAGCAUAAUACCCCAUAGGCCUGAGAUGCUGGAACGCUCUCAGGCUAAAAGCUCCGGCGCCCAAGGAUGAGUCUGCGGCCUAUCAGCUUGUAGUUGGUGUAAAUGACCAACUAGGCGACGACGGGUACGGGCAUUGGGAGAUGUAGCCCGGAGAUGGACUCUGAGACACGAGUCCAGGCCCUACGGGGCGCAGCAGUCGCGAAGACUUCACAAUGUGGGAAACCGCGAUGAGGGGAUUCCAAGUGCUUACGCUUUGCGUAAGCUGUUCUUCUGCCUAAAAAGCAGGGGAAGUAAGGGCUGGGUAAGACGGGUGCCAGCCGCCGCGGUAAUACCCGCAGCCCGAGUGGUGGUCGAUAUUAUUGAGCUUAAAGCGUCCGUAGCCUGUCUGGUAAAUUCUUGGGUAAAUCGUGCAGCUUAACUGUCCGAAUUCCGGGGAGACUGCCAGACUUGGGACCGGGAGAGGUUGGAGGUACUCCUGGGGUAGGGGUAAAAUCCCGUAAUCCUGGGAGGACCAUCAGUGGCGAAGGCGUCCAACUGGAACGGAUCCGACGGUCAGGGACGAAGCCCUGGGUCGCGAACUGGAUUAGAUACCCAGGUAGUCCAGGGUGUAAACGCUGCAGACUUGGUGUCGGAGGUCCUACGAGGGCGUCCGGUGCCGGAGAGAAAUUGUUAAGUCUGCCGCUUGGGGAGUACGUCCGCAAGGAUGAAACUUAA
rnacentral:rRNA from 1 species